rfam:Trichuris trichiura, WGS project CBXK01000000 data, contig: TTRE_1672
GCCCAUGUAGCUCAGUCGGUAGAGCGUUAGGCUUUUAACCUAAAUGUCCAGGGUUCGACCCCCUGCGUGGGCG